AGUGAACGCUGGCGGUAGGCCUAACACAUGCAAGUCGAACGGCAGCACAGUAAGAGCUUGCUCUUACGGUUGGCGAGUGGCGGACGGGUGAGGAAUACAUCGGAAUCUACUUUUUCGUGGGGGAUAACGUAGGGAAACUUACGCUAAUACCGCAUACGACCUACGGGUGAAAGCAGGGGAUCUUCGGACCUUGCGCGACUGAAUUAGCCGAUGUCGGAUUAGCUAGUUGGCGGGGUAAAGGCCCACCAAGGCGACGAUCCGUAGCUGGCCUGAGAGGAUGAUCAGCCACACUGGAACUGAGACACGGUCCAGACUCCUACGGGAGGCAGCAGUGGGGAAUAUUGGACAAUGGGCGCAAGCCUGAUCCAGCCAUACCGCGUGGGUGAAGAAGGCCUUCGGGUUGUAAAGCCCUUUUGUUGGGAAAGAAAAGCAGCAGGUUAAUACCCCGCUGUUCUGACGGUACCCAAAGAAUAAGCACCGGCUAACUUCGUG
rnacentral:rRNA from 1 species